AACGUAGGAGACAAACGUUAUCCGGAGUUACUGGGCGUAAAGGGCGUGUAGGUGGUUCUGUAAGUCUGGCGUGAAAUUUCUCGGCUUAACCGAGGCAGGUCGUCGGAUACUGCAGGGCUAGAGGACGGUAGAGGCGUGUGGAAUUCCGGGUGUAGUGGUGAAAUGCGUAGAGAUCCGGAGGAACACCAGUGGCGAAGGCGACACGCUGGGCCGUACCUGACACUGAUGCGCGACAGCAUGGGGAGCAAACAGGG
rnacentral:rRNA from 1 species